rnacentral:sRNA from 1 species
GAUACCAGGGUCAAAAAGUCGUAAAUCCGAUGCAAGCUUGCUUGCAAGAGGAUUUUUGACCUUAGGCCCCGCCAAAACAUGAAUAAGGAGCCAUUUUUCGCAGAAAAAUGUGCGGAUUAUGAAUGUUUUGAGGAUUGCGUGAGC